GCUGUCAGAACCGAAAAAAUCUUUUAUAAUAUCGGCAAGUGAUGUUUGGAAAUUGUAUGAAGUUCACAGUCUUGGAAGCUAUCUCAAACACGAUGAUGAUCAAGUUUAAUCCGAAUUACGGAUUCAUUAGAAACGUAUAUAGUUUUAUAGGUUUACCUCAGAUUCUACGUGAAUAUAUAUAUCUCUUUGGUGAAGUUAAUAUUUCAUUUCUUUGGAUAAAAGAAUCAUUCAAUAAUUAAAUAAAUUUAUAAUGCAAAUAGACUACCUGAACAAAAUGCUUUUGGUGAAGUCUUUCAAAACAUAGCAACGAGCACUCAGUAGCUAUUAAAAUUCUACUCUCGUAAAUAACAUCCCAAGCUAAAGAUGAUUUCAUGAUGGAAGGCUUUAUCAUGAGUAAAAUCAGACAUCCCAACAUAUUACAUUUUAUUGGAGUCUUUUUCGACAGACACCCAGGAUAUAUCGUAUUAGAAUUAUUAGCUGGUGAUGAUUUGAAAAAUUUCCUUCGUGAAGAAAGACGAAGACCGGAUCGUUCUACUACGUUAACUAUGUAUGAUUUGAUUAUCUAUGGCUACAAUGUUGCGAAUGAUUGUAAAUACGUGGAAGUGACACGUUUCAUAUAUCGUGAUAUAGCCGCAUGAAAUUUUUAUAUUCACCUACAAAGAAUCUGAUCGUAUAGGAAACAUCGCGCACUUUGAUAUAGUUAGAGAUAUCUAUAAAAAAGAUUAUUACAUGAAAGACGGUAUAAAUAUGUUAUCUAUCAAAUUGACGUCAUGAGAAAUUUUUCUAGAUGAUAUAUUUAUUACGAAAUAUGACAUCUGAUACAAAUAAUAAAUGAUGUAAUGAUUUUGAUUUGUAAGACUUUCUGUUUCCUUCUCUGGGAAAUUAUGUCUUUUGGAUACAUGCCAUAUAUUAAUCGUGCCAAUCGUGAGGUAAUGUCAAUGCUAACGGCUGGUGGGGGAAAACGCUGGUUUGGAAAAGCCACCCGUUGGCCAGAUUCAAUUUACAGAAUAAUGACGCAUUGUUGGCAUCAAUACCCGGAAGAUCGGUCUAGUUUACUACUAUCAUUGAAUCAAUCAAGAAUUGAUUAUUGU